UAAAAAGCUGUGAAAAGGAGUAUUAAGAGAAUAUGUGCUUAUAGAGAGCUGCCGGUAGGUGGAAGGCAGUAGCAACAGUCUCCCAACUCGCCUUGGAGCUUCCCAGUUGAAUAUGUAGUAGGCUGGGACGGUUUUUCCCGUUAUAGAAAAUGAGUGCAUAAUAAGCAUGUGAUUUAUGCUUAUUAUGAAAUAGAGUGGUACCACGGAAUUUAACCUUUCGUCUCUUGU
rnacentral:ncRNA from 1 species